rnacentral:rRNA from 1 species
UACGUAGGGUGCAAGCGUUGUCCGGAAUUAUUGGGCGUAAAGAGCUCGUAGGCGGUUUGUCGCGUCUGCUGUGAAAUCCCGAGGCUCAACCUCGGGCCUGCAGUGGGUACGGGCAGACUAGAGUGCGGUAGGGGAGAUUGGAACUCCUGGUGUAGCGGUGGAAUGCGCAGAUAUCAGGAAGAACACCGAUGGCGAAGGCAGAUCUCUGGGCCGUAACUGACGCUGAGGAGCGAAAGCGUGGGGAGCGAACAGG